UGGGGAAUCUUGGACAAUGGGCGCAAGCCUGAUGACGCAACGCCGCGUGGGGGAUGAAGGUCUUCGGAUCGUAAACCCCUGUCGAAUGGGACGAAAGACUCGCGAGUGAAUACUUCGCGAGAGUGACGGUACCGUUAAAGGAAGCCACGGCUAACUCUGUGCCAGCAGCCGCGGUAAUACAGAGGUGGCAAGCGUUGUCCGGAUUUAUUGGGUUUAAAGGGUGCGUAGGUGGCCCUGUAAGUCAGUGGUGAAAUAUCUCAGCUUAACUGAGAGGGUGCCAUUGAUACUGCAGGGCUUGAGUACAGAUGAGGUAGGCGGAAUUGACGGUGUAGCGGUGAAAUGCAUAGAUAUCGUCAAGAACACCGAUAGCGAAGGCAGCUUACCAAGCUGUAACUGACACUGAGGCACGAAAGUGUGGGGAUCAAACAGGAUUAGAUACCCUUGUAGUCCCUGAGCGGGCUGGCAAGGCGCAU
rnacentral:rRNA from 1 species